rnacentral:rRNA from 1 species
GACGAACGCUGGCGGCGUGCUUAACACAUGCAAGUCACGGGGGCGUCGCAAGAGCAACCGGCGAACGGGUGCGUAACACGUGAACAACCUGCCCUCGUGUGGGGGAGUAGCCAUGCUAACGCGUGGGUAAUACCGCAUACGUUCCUCUGGGGAGGUCCCUGGGGGAGGAAAGCUCCGGCGGCACGGGGAGGGUUCGCGGCCUAUCAGCUAGUUGGUGCGGUAACGGCGCACCAAGGCGA